rnacentral:rRNA from 1 species
CCUACGGGAGGCUGCAGUGGGGAAUAUUGGACAAUGGGCGAAAGCCUGAUCCAGCCAUGCCGCGUGUGUGAAGAAGGCCUUCGGGUUGUAAAGCACUUUCAGUGGGGAAGAAAGCCUUGGGGCUAAUACCCUCGAGGAAGGACAUCACCCACAGAAGAAGCACCGGCUAACUCCGUGCCAGCAGCCGCGGUAAUACGGAGGGUGCGAGCGUUAAUCGGAAUUACUGGGCGUAAAGCGCGCGUAGGCGGUCUGAUAAGCCGGUUGUGAAAGCCCCGGGCUCAACCUGGGAACGGCAUCCGGAACUGUCAGGCUAGAGGGCAGGAGAGGAAGGUAGAAUUCCCGGUGUAGCGGUGAAAUGCGUAGAGAUCGGGAGGAAUACCAGUGGCGAAGGCGGCCUUCUGGACUGACACUGACGCUGAGGUGCGAAAGCGUGGGUAGCAAACAGGAUUAGAUACCCUAGUAGUC